rnacentral:rRNA from 1 species
GUCUCCUUGUAAUUAACAAAAAUAAGGAGUCGGGCCUGCCCGGUGAUUUACUAAACGGCCGCGGUACUCUGACCGUGCAAAGGUAGCUUAAUGACAUGUUUAUUAAUUGUAGACUUGUGAAUGGUCUGACGAGGGAUUAACUGUCUCUGCUUAUGUGGGCAGAAUUUGACUUGUAGGUUAAAAGGCCUAGAUAUAACACCUAGACGAGAAGACCCUAACGAGCUUUUAUUACGGUUCCAGAUAUUGGUAAUGGGUUUUGGUUGGGGCAACAUGAGAACAUAAAAAAUUUCUUUUAUAGAAAAAGUGUGAUAUGAUCCGGUAGAUUUCGAGUAUAGGAAAAAGUUACCGUAGGGAUAACAGCGUUAUUUUUCUUGAGAGUCCAUAUCGAAAGAAGAGUUUGCGACCUCGAUGUUGGACUAGAAUAUCCUAGGGGUGCAGCAGCCCCUGAGGGUUGGUCUGUUCGACCAUAAAAAUUCU